rnacentral:rRNA from 1 species
CUACGGGCCGCAGCAGUGGGGAAUCUUGGACAAUGGGCGCAAGCCUGAUCCAGCCAUGCCGCGUGAGUGAAGAAGGUCUUCGGAUUGUAAAGCUCUUUUACCAGGGACGAUAAUGACGGUACCUGGAGAAUAAGCCCCGGCAAACUUCGUGCCAGCAGCCGCGGUAAUAAGAAGGGGGCUAGCGUUGUUCGGAAUUACUGGGCGUAAAGCGCACGUAGGCGGGUCGUUAAGUCAGGGGUGAAAUCCCGGAGCUCAACUCCGGAACUGCCUUUGAUACUGGCGAUCUUGAGAUCGGAAGAGGUGAGUGGAAUUCCCAGUGUAGAGGUGAAAUUCGUAGAUAUUGGGAAGAACACCAGUGGCGAAGGCGGCUCACUGGUCCGACACUGACGCUGAGGUGCGAAAGCGUGGGGAGCAAACAGGAUUAGAUACCCCUGUAGUC